UAAAAAUUCGAAUGAGAAGAAAAGGAUGAGAGAUGAGAAGAAUAAACGAGACCGGGGGCGGAGGACGUGAGCCGUGAUUACCUCAGGGCAUUCCUGGCUGAGGUCCCAACCCGGGUCAAAUCCGUUCUUGCUUACUGCGCUAUGGGAAAACGCUAAACGAUCGGCUCACAUCACUCACAAUCCGCUCUGCUUUCGUAUUAAUGAAGUGAACUCACUUUGUAAGCGUUUCCAACGAUGAUGUGUAUAUGGUUCCGCCGACGUCGAUGUGAACUGGUGCUGUGUAUCUAGAUGCUGCUGCAACACAGGGUAUACCUGGCAUUUUAGUAUUGUAUGCUGGUGCUACUGGUGUUGGUGGUGUCGGUGACGAUGAAUUAGACAUCGUGGGCGACGUUGCUGGCGAACUGCUUGGCGACAGCAAUCUGACAAAUAUACUUUCAAUAUUAGGUAAAAAAAUAACGAUACAUGAGUCUGCUUAAAGCCUGAGAUAUACGAAGGCAUAUACGCGGAUUUACGAUUCGAACGACUUUUAUUUACUGCCCGCCGAGAGAAUACGAUAUAAUAUGAGAGUGUGUUCAUCCGCCUACGAGUAAGAUCGCGAGUAAAGAGUCAACAUAACAGUGGCGUAACCAAUCCUCAGACCACAGAAGAUUUUUAAUUUUUAAAUUAUGUCCCCACAGUUUUUCAUUCCCAGACAAAUAUGAUAUAUGUCCACGGGUAAAUAUGAUGUGGAUUCGUAUAUAUAUGAAUAGUCAAGAGGUUAAAGUGGUAUAUAGUAGUAGAAUAGAAGACAAGAGAAGAGGAAGAAUAGUGUAUAGAGAAAUAUGAGAUAAAAGAGUAGAGUAGAAUAUCG